rnacentral:rRNA from 1 species
ACUGCGAGUGAAGAGGGAAGAGCUCAAUUUUGAAUCUGGCGGUCGUCUGGCCGUCCGAGUUGUAAUCUAGAGAAGCGUCUUCCGCGUCGGACCCGUGUACAAGUCUCCUGGAAGGGAGCGUCAUAGAGGGUGAGAAUCCCGUCUUUGACACGGACGAACCGAGGCUAUGUGAUGCGCUCUCGACGAGUCGAGUUGUUUGGGAAUGCAGCUCAAAACGGGUGGUAAAUUCCAUCUAAAGCUAAAUACAGGCGAGAGACCGAUAGCGAACAAGUACCGUGAGGGAAAGAUGAAAAGAACUUUGGAAAGAGAGUUAAACAGUAUGUGAAAUUGCUGGAAGGGAAACGUUUGAUGUCAGUCGCGUCGGCUGGGGGUCAAUCUGGCUUCRUUGCUGGGUGUAUUUCCUGAUCGACGGGUCAGCAUCAGUUUUCGUCGCUCGUACAAUGGCAGAGGGAACGUGGCACUCUUUCGGGAGUGUGUUAUAGCCCUUCGUCGUAUGCGGUGGUGGGGACUGAGGAACUCAGCACAGAAAUGUGUUUAGGAUGCUGGCAUAAUGGCCUUAAGCGACCCGUCUUGAAACACGGACCAAGGAGUCUAACAUGCCUGCGAGUGUUUGGGUGGGCAAACUCGAGCGCGAAAUGAAAGUGAACGGUCGAGACCUCUGUCAUGGAGGGCAUCGACGCCCGGACUCGAGUCAUCGACGAAGGAUCUGCGGUAGAGCAUGCAUGUUAGGACCCGAAAGAUGGUGAACUAUGCCUGAAUAGGGUGAAGCCAGAGGAAACUCUGGUGGAGGCUCGUAGCGAUUCUGACGUGCAAAUCGAUCGUCGAAUU